UUUUUAGGUUCCAUAGCCAAAAUGGCAAAAAUGGAACCCUUAUAGUAUCUGAGAAGCUUUUUUUUAUACCAUAUCGGUGGCAAACAAGCAUACGGCCCGCCUGAUGGUAAGCAGUCACCGUAGCCUAUGGACACCUGCAACUCCAGGGGUGUUACAUGCGCGUUGCCGACCUUUUAAAAACCUGUACACUCCUUUUUUGAAGAACCCCGUACUGUAGACCCUCGGGAAAACCUCGGAAGGGAGCUCAUUCCACAGCCGGAGCGUCCGUGGGAGGAAAUUCCUCUUAAAUCGCAUAGUACGCGACCAUUUAGGUUCUAGGGUGUGAGGAUGAACACCCUGCCGACGGCGACCGGUGCGGUGAUAGAAAGCGGCCGUUGGCAUCAUGUCAAACAAUUCCUCAGAGCACAGCCCAUUGUACAAGCGGUAGAACACACACAAGGAGGCAAAGUCUCUCCUUAGACUUAAAGGUUCAAUACCACUUGUGAGUUUGGAAUCAUCGACGAUUCGUACAG